UACGUAGGGUGCGAGCGUUGUCCGGAAUUAUUGGGCGUAAAGAGCUCGUAGGCGGUUCGGCAAGUCGGGUGUGAAAUUUCGAGGCUCAACCUCGAAACGCCACUCGAUACUGCUGUGACUGGAGUCCGGUAGAGGAGUGCGGAAUUCCUGGUGUAGCGGUGAAAUGCGCAGAUAUCAGGAGGAACACCAACGGCGAAGGCAGCACUCUGGGCCGGUACUGACGCUGAGGAGCGAAAGCGUGGGGAGCAAACAGG
rnacentral:rRNA from 1 species